CUUAUCAUUAAUCAGUGUUGACAUUGAUAGAGGCACAGAAUGAACACAUAUUGCUGGUGAUGAUGUUGAGAAAUCAAUGAUGAUGGUAAUGUCAAAGUUGAUGUUGAUGGUAACAAACAAAAUUAAUUCAAGUUGAGCAGCGUGUUCGAUUGAAUGUACACACAUAGUUAGAGCACAUUUUCCGUUGUAUAUGUGUGAGCAUCUAAAACUAUGUUGACUUAAUUGGCUGACUUGUGUGGUAAUGGAUGUGCAUGUUCAAUACAGUGGUGUUUACAUUAAUGCUGCUAGUGAAUUGUGAUGAGCAGAUUUGUGUAUUUUGUUUGUGUUAAUUCAUAGAUGACAUAUACAAUGUUUACAUUUUUGUUUACUAUGGUAAAAACAAGGACAAUGGAUUUGGUGAAAUGUUUCAAAAUCUUGCAUAAGAUCAGAACUCUCGGUUCGUAAAUCGACAACAAUGAUUGGUCGUAGAUAAUUAAUGGAUCACAGGCUGGUCAAUACUGUUUGGCUAUUGGUUUCAUUGUUCAUUAAAUAAAUGCACAUUGGCACAGCGUACAUGGAAUCGAUUGCUGAAACUGUUGACUAGUUGUUUUCAUUAUGGUUGAAACAAAUAAAUCGAUAUGUCAAUGAAAUAUUGGUGAAGAAAUCCAUCGAUUGGCUAGUUGAUUAUCAUUUUGUUGGUUCAAAUUAUGCUCACUGGCACACACUCAAUCACUUAAAUUAUGUUGUGUUUAUGAUGACGAUGAUGAAUUGAUGAAUAAAUAAAUAAAUUAAUGAAUAAA